AUGGAUAGGCAAGGCAUUUCACCUUCGGUCUACAGCAACAACGACGAGUUCGAUGCCGCGAACAACUCCAACGACGCCAAGAUGCAAGCUCAAAUGGAGGACAUCAAAGCCCUCAUCAAGUCCUGCAAGCGAUCUUCCUCAUCUACGAGAAGACGCUCUAGUGCACAUGCUUCCGAGCUACCAUCUCCGGCAAGAUCACAUUGGCAUCGACACCAUCACCACCACGAACGUGAAGGUGAUGCGGAGCAUCCCACGUUCAUCCCCAUGUACACUCCGACUAGUCUCCAAGGCCCAAGGAUACAUAAGAUGAGACCUCGACUAUACACCAUUGGACACAAGGUGAACUCGCUCCUCUUCGAACCAUCACCUUCCAUAUGUGAGACAUGGCUACUACCUGAAAUAUAUGUGCUAUGCAUGACCAGGAACAAAGAGGAAGACCAUGGACAAGACGGCGAGGACACCAAGUGUGAAGGACGAGAAGAAGAGAUGUCACGGAAGCUACAGGCUCCGGACGACCGGCCCAGCCCGGACGUCCGACACCUCCCAGGCCCCGGACGACCGAACACCUACGGAUGA
rnacentral:rRNA from 1 species